GGAUGUGAGGGCGAUCUGGCUGCGACAUCUGUCACCCCAUUGAUCGCCAGGGUUGAUUCGGCUGAUCUGGCUGGCUAGGCGGGUGUCCCCUUCCUCCCUCACCGCUCCAUGUGCGUCCCUCCCGAAGCUGCGCGCUCGGUCGAAGAGGACGGCCUUCCCCGAAUAGAGACGGACCGGUCUUCGGUCGAGGGUAUACGAGUAGCUGCGCUCCCCUGCUAGAACCUCCAAACAAGCUCUCAAGUGUGGGCUGGGGGUUUGUAAUAGGAAAAGGGCAGAAAAAGGAACAAGCAACAUUAAAGAGUCUCUUGUUCUCAUGAAGCAAUCUAAUAUAGAGAACUUAGA
ensembl:misc_RNA 7SK 7SK RNA